rnacentral:rRNA from 1 species
UACAGAGGUCCCAAGCGUUGUUCGGAUUCACUGGGCGUAAAGGGUGCGUAGGCGGCCAGGUAAGUUUGAUGUGAAAUCCCGCAGCUCAACUGCGGAACUGCAUUGGAUACUAUCUGGCUCGAGGAAUGGAGGGGAGACUGGAAUUCUCGGUGUAGCAGUGAAAUGCGUAGAUAUCGUAAGGAAGACCAGUGGCGAAGGCGGGUCUCUGGACAGUUCCUGACGCUGAGGCACGAAGGCCAGGGGAGCAAACGGG